CGCAUCGACCUGGUAUUGCAGUACUUCCA
rnacentral:piRNA from 2 species